rnacentral:rRNA from 1 species
GGGGAAUUUUGGACAAUGGGCGAAAGCCUGAUCCAGCAAUGCCGCGUGCAGGAUGAAGGCCUUCGGGUUGUAAACUGCUUUUGUACGGAACGAAAAGCUUCGGGUUAAUACCCUGGAGUCAUGACGGUACCGUAAGAAUAAGCACCGGCUAACUACGUGCCAGCAGCCGCGGUAAUACGUAGGGUGCAAGCGUUAAUCGGAAUUACUGGGCGUAAAGCGUGCGCAGGCGGUUUUGUAAGACAGAGGUGAAAUCCCCGGGCUCAACCUGGGAACUGCCUUUGUGACUGCAAGGCUAGAGUACGGCAGAGGGGGAUGGAAUUCCGCGUGUAGCAGUGAAAUGCGUAGAUAUGCGGAGGAACACCGAUGGCGAAGGCAAUCCCCUGGGCCUGUACUGACGCUCAUGCACGAAAGCGUGGGGAGCAAAC